rnacentral:rRNA from 1 species
UACGAAGGGGGCUAGCGUUGUUCGGAAUCACUGGGCGUAAAGGGCGCGUAGGCGGCUUGAUAAGUCGGGGGUGAAAGCCUGUGGCUCAACCACAGAAUUGCCUUCGAUACUGUCGAGCUUGAGACCGGAAGAGGUAAGUGGAACUGCGAGUGUAGAGGUGAAAUUCGUAGAUAUUCGCAAGAACACCAGUGGCGAAGGCGGCUCACUGGCCCGAUACUGACGCUGAGGUGCGAAAGCGUGGGGAGCAAACAGG